CUUUUGAGUAUAAUUUAAGGUCUAACCUGCCCAAUGAUUUAAUUAAAUGGCCGCGGUAUCUUAACCGUGCAAAGGUAGCAUAAUAAUUAGUUUUUUAAUUGAAAGCUUGUAUGAAAGGUUGAAUGAAAAAAUAACUGUCUCUGUUUAAAUUAAUUAGAAUUUUAUUUUUAAGUAAAAAAGCUUAAAUAUAUAUAGAAGACGAGAAGACCCUAUAGAGUUUUAUACUCUUUUUUAUUUAAGUUUUUAGAAUUUUAAUUUUAUAUAAAAAAUAGUAUUUAGUUGGGGUGAUUGAAAAAUUAGAUAAACUUUUUUUUUAUUUAAAACAUUGAUUUAUGAAUUUUUGAUCCUUUAUUUAAGAUUAAAAGAUAAAAUUACCUUAGGGAUAACAGCGUAAUUUUUUUUAAGAGUUCUAAUCGAAAAAAAAGAUUGCSACCUCGAUGUUGGAUUAAAAUAAAUUUUUGGUGUAGAAGCUAAA
rnacentral:rRNA from 1 species